GAGGCAGCCGUGGGGUAUUCUUACGGGAGGCAGCAAUGGGGAAUGUUGCACAAUGGGGGAAACCCUGAUGCAGCGACGCCGCGUGAGCGAUGAAGUAUUUCGGUAUGUAAAGCUCUAUCAGCAGGAAGAAAAUGACGGUACCUGACUAAGAAGCCCCGGCUAAAUACGUGCCAGCAGCCGCGGUAAUACGUAGGGGGCAAGCGUUAU
rnacentral:rRNA from 1 species